AGCCCUAAUUCCCCCCUUAAACUGCCCGCCUCUCUCUCCCUCUAAAUUCAAGCGUCGCCGCCGUCCUAAGGGCGGCGUUGCUCCGCCUCAUCUCUGACUCCCUCUUCCAUUCCUUAAUUAGUUCGAUUCUGUUUCCACUUCUUAAACCCAUGAGAAUUCUCCAUUCGAAGCAAUUAAUACAAGAGCCCUAAGAUUUCUUUUUCCUAUA
rnacentral:lncRNA from 1 species